AGUGGAUGGGCUUGUUAAAACAGGUUUCUGGGUCUCACUCUGACAGUUUCUGAUUCUGUAAGUCUGGGACGGGGCCAGAGAGUUUGAAUUUCUACAAGUUCCCUGGUGUGAUAGGCAGCUUUCCAAAGCUAUCCCAGCAGGAACCCCAUCCCCUGGUUAGUCACUGAAACACCAUCCAGGAACUGCUGGGAAGGGACUAGCAGGUGGGGUUCAGGCUCCUAACGGACUGACUGUGAAGGAGGGAGAUGCUCCUGGCUUAUCUGGGUGGGUCCAGGGUAGUCACCUGAGCCCUAAAAGCAGAGAGAGGUCAGACAAAGGUGGAGCAUGAGGAAGGUUCCCUCUGCCCUUGCUGGCUUUGGAGACGGAGGAAGGAGCUGGAGCCAAUGAUGCGGUUGGCCUCUGGAAACCAAGAACAGCCCCAAACAGCUCAUGGAACCCAGGGCCUUGAGACUGCACGCAACUGAUUUCUGACAACAGCCUGAAGGAGCUUGAAAGAGAUUCAUCCGCAGAGCUUCUGGAGAGGGCUGCAGCCCUGAGCCAGGUCUCCUGGACGCUCAGCAGAGAGGCAUCUGAGCCGCGCUGUGCUGGGCUUCUGACCUACAGAAACUGUGAGAGGAUGCAUUUGCGUUGUUCUGAUCAUUGAAUUUCUGGUGAUUCGUUACGGCAGCAAUAGAAAGUUAAUACUCGUGGUAUACUGAUGCUGCUGGACCACAAUGUGAGAAUCGCUGGCUUGUCUGGUAUGUGCAAACUGACGUGCAGUCAGCAAAGACGGAGGUGAGAUACGGACCUGGGUGGAACGACUCUAGGCGGGACCUAAGCUCUUGUUUGCUGUUGACUUCACGAUUCUCCAUGGAAUUUCUGUGACUUCCCACACUUAUUUUCGAACAGUCAGUCCCACUCAUCGUCAGUCCUAGCACACGCACACUGUUAUAACCCCGCCUUCACCAGCCAAUGCGAAGACCUUCACCAUUUCACUUUAUUUCCCAUGAGAAAAUCCAAUCAGUUAAGACCUCGUGGAUUUGGUAAUGUAGCUGCAAACGUGAAGGAUUGUAAGGAGUGACCACAUCACAGUCUCCCACCAGAGUGCCCGCCCUGCUUGUCGGGCUCUGCCACCUUUUCAACGCCUGGGCCCCUGACUGAAGACCCUUCUCAUGACUCGCAGGCCCUUGAAAAGCAUGGGCCACUCUGAUCAGUUCAAUCCCUUCUUUUAUGGGGAACAUUCUUUUUCAGGUUAUUCUGCCUGCUACUGACACCUGAAAUUACAAGGAACACACAUUUUUCCGUUUCUCCACGUUGAUGAUGUGGAAGUGUAAUGUGACUGAUGCUUGUGCCACGAAUCAGUGGUAGGAGUGAUACCUGAUUGCAGCAAACAGAC
rnacentral:lncRNA from 1 species